UUAGUGGCGAACGGGUGAGUAACACGUGAGUAACCUGCCCUUGACUCUGGGAUAAGCGCUGGAAACGGCGUCUAAUACCGGAUACGACCUGCCCCGGCAUCGGGUGCGGGUGGAAAGUUUUUCGGUCAAGGAUGGACUCGCGGCCUAUCAGCUUGUUGGUGAGGUAAUGGCUCACCAAGGCGACGACGGGUAGCCGGCCUGAGAGGGUGACCGGCCACACUGGGACUGAGACACGGCCCAGACUCCUACGGGAGGCAGCAGUGGGGAAUAUUGCACAAUGGGCGAAAGCCUGAUGCAGCAACGCCGCGUGGGGGAUGACGGCCUUCGGGUUGUAAACCUCUUUUAGUAGGGAAGAAGGACUUCGGUUUGACGGUACCUGCAGAAAAAGCACCGGCUAACUACGUGCCAGCAGCCGCGGUAAUACGUAGGGUGCAAGCGUUGUCCGGAAUUAUUGGGCGUAAAGAGCUCGUAGGCGGUUUGUCGCGUCUGCUGUGAAAACCCGAGGCUCAACCUCGGGCCUGCAGUGGGUACGGGCAGACUAGAGUGCGGUAGGGGAGAAUGGAAUUCCUGGUGUAGCGGUGGAAUGCGCAGAUAUCAGGAGGAACACCGAUGGCGAAGGCAGUUCUCUGGGCCGUAACUGACGCUGAGGAGCGAAAGCAUGGGGAGCGAACAGGAUUAGAUACCCUGGUAGUCCAUGCCGUAAACGUUGGGCGCUAGAUGUGGGGACCUUUCCACGGUUUCCGUGUCGCAGCUAACGCAUUAAGCGCCCCGCCUGGGGAGUACGGCCGCAAGGCUAAAACUCAAAGGAAUUGACGGGGGCCCGCACAAGCGGCGGAGCAUGCGGAUUAAUUCGAUGCAACGCGAAGAACCUUACCAAGGCUUGACAUAUACCGGAAACUUCCAGAAAUGGUUGCCCCGCAAGGUCGGUAUACAGGUGGUGCAUGGUUGUCGUCAGCUCGUGUCGUGAGAUGUUGGGUUAAGUCCCGCAACGAGCGCAACCCUCGUUCUAUGUUGCCAGCACGUCAUGGUGGGAACUCAUAGGAGACUGCCGGGGUCAACUCGGAGGAAGGUGGGGAUGACGUCAAAUCAUCAUGCCCCUUAUGUCUUGGGCUUCACGCAUGCUACAAUGGCCGGUACAAAGGGCUGCGAUACCGUAAGGUGGAGCGAAUCCCAAAAAGCCGGUCUCAGUUCGGAUUGAGGUCUGCAACUCGACCUCAUGAAGUCGGAGUCGCUAGUAAUCG
rnacentral:rRNA from 1 species